GCUACACAUGCAGUCGAGCGGUAACAGGAAUUAGCUUGCUAAUUYGCUGACGAGCGGCGGACGGGUGAGUAAUGCCUAGGGAUCUGCCCAGUCGAGGGGGAUAACAGUUGGAAACGACUGCUAAUACCGCAUACGCCCUACGGGGGAAAGGAGGGGACCUUCGGGCCUUUCGCGAUUGGAUGAACCUAGGUGGGAUUAGCUAGUUGGUGAGGUAAUGGCUCACCAAGGCGACGAUCCCUAGCUGUUCUGAGAGGAUGAUCAGCCACACUGGGACUGAGACACGGCCCAGACUCCUACGGGAGGCAGCAGUGGGGAAUAUUGCACAAUGGGCGAAAGCCUGAUGCAGCCAUGCCGCGUGUGUGAAGAAGGCCUUCGGGUUGUAAAGCACUUUCAGUAGGGAGGAAAGGUUAACGGUUAAUAACCGUUAGCUGUGACGUUACCUACAGAAGAAGGACCGGCUAACUUCGUGCCAGCAGCCGCGGUAAUACGAGGGGUCCAAGCGUUAAUCGGAAUUACUGGGCGUAAAGCGUACGCAGGCGGUUCAUUAAGCCAGAUGUGAAAUCCCCGGGCUCAACCUGGGAAUUGCAUUUGGAACUGGUGAACUAGAGUCUUGUAGAGGGGGGUAGAAUUUCAGGUGUAGCGGUGAAAUGCGUAGAGAUCUGAAGGAAUACCGGUGGCGAAGGCGGCCCCCUGGACAAAGACUGACGCUCAUGUAC
rnacentral:rRNA from 1 species